UAGCUAUGAUAAUAAAGCCAGGUCCACCAAUCAGCUAUCAGCUUUGAUAAGGCCAAGAAACGAUUACAAACCUAUCAGAGGCCGGAUUUCCGUUAAUUUCAACCCCAUCGGUUGGUCGCCUUGUUCAAUAUAAGUAGCUGAAACCUCUCGUAACUUCAGACAGAAUCAUCGGCGCGUCCAGUCAUUCGAAUACCUCGUUCCUCAACAACACAACGAACCAAAUUCCACARAAAUGAAACUUCAAACUUACUGCCAUUAUAUGGGGCUUUUUCUAACAUUAGUUGUUGGGAUGAACUGGUGCUUUGCAGGCGUUCAURGUGGAGCACUGAGAAUGAAGCGUCGACCACCAACUCCGGAUGAAACGCCCGGCGUUUCAGCGUGGCGUCAAUGGUUUUCAGGGCGUAGGGAAUUUCACAAAGACUCCGACACAAAUUUAAAGAAAGACGAAUUUAACCUUCCAUGGUACGAAAACAAAGAAGACGAGGCAAGAUUCCGAACAAGCUAAAAUUGUAAAUUUUAUUUCCAUCCACCGCGAAUGAUAUAAUAAUACGUUAACUUAAAACACAAUGUAUUUUUAAAUAAAAUCAAAUGUUAAUAAGCAAAAAAUGUAGCGCGAUUUCUAUUCUUGAUAUGUUGGCUCUCUGCGUUAAAAUCAAGAUGUCRUGAAGUAGAAUAUAGAUGAAAAUAAAAUGAACCCAUUUCUGCAUCCA